CUCCAAUGGAAUGCCUUUGACAUGAUCAAAGAUCAAGGACCUAACCAUUAGACAUCUACGAUGCCUCAGGUCAAAGGACUACUUUGCAUAUUGCAACUAUCGAGUUCUUACAUGACAUGUAUGUUCGAACUUUCUUUUGAUCGUUGUUCAGUGUACUCGAUUACUCUUUCGAGCACCUAUGUGUUUGUCUUAGUGUCCAA
rnacentral:lncRNA from 1 species